rnacentral:rRNA from 1 species
UACAGAGGUCUCAAGCGUUGUUCGGAUUCAUUGGGCGUAAAGGGUGCGUAGGCGGCGCGGUAAGUCGGGUGUGAAAUCUCGGAGCUUAACUCCGAAACUGCAUUCGAUACUGCCGUGCUUGAGGACUGGAGAGGAGACUGGAAUUUACGGUGUAGCGGUGAAAUGCGUAGAUAUCGGGAGGAACACCAGUGGCGAAAGCGGCUACCUGGCCCAUUCUUGACGCUGAGGCGCGAAAGCUAGGGGAGACAAACGGGG